CAGAGGGUGCAAGCGUUAAUCGGAAUUACUGGGCGUAAAGCGCGUGUAGGUGGUUUUAUAAGUUUGAUGUGAAAGCCCUGGGCUUAACCUGGGAAUGGCGUUGAAAACUGUAAGACUGGAGUCGGACAGAGGGUGGUGGAAUUUCCGGUGUAGCAGUGAAAUGCGUAGAGAUCGGAAAGAACACCCGUGGCGAAGGCGGCCACCUGGGUCCAGACUGACACUGAGGCGCGAAAGCGUGGGGAGCAAACAGGAUUAGAUACCCUGGUAGUCCACGCUGUAAACGAUGAGAACUGGCUAAGCGGAUGGCUUAGGCUGUCUGCGUGGCGAAGCUAACGCGUUAAGUUCUCCGCCUGGGGAGUACGGUCGCAAGAUUA
rnacentral:rRNA from 1 species